rnacentral:rRNA from 1 species
GACAGAGGGUGCAAACGUUGUUCGGAAUCACUGGGCGUAAAGCGCGUGUAGGCGGCAGUGCAAGUCGGAUGUGAAAUCCCGCGGCUCAACCGUGGAAGUGCACCCGAAACUGCACAGCUCGAGUGUCGGAGAGGAAGGUGGAAUGCUUGGUGUAGAGGUGAAAUUCGUAGAUAUCAAGCGGAACACCGGUGGCGAAGGCGGCCUUCUGGACGACAACUGACGCUGAGACGCGAAAGCGUGGGUAGCAAACAGG